rfam:Flavobacterium fluvii strain DSM 19978 genome assembly, contig: Ga0131141_102
GAUUAGCCCCGAUGGCAGCAAAUAUCCUUUUGGGCUGGGGUUCAGCCCAAAAGAUAUUGCGUACAGCGGGAGAGAAG